UUUUUAAACCUUCCUGUAAGCAGGUGGGAAGCUUGCCCGGGGCCAUUUGGAAAAGGCAUUUCUGUGCGUAAAGACGCACGAGGCGGGCGAUUGGGGUUCAAGCAUCCAGGCCGGCCCGAAAUCUUUGUGGGGCUCCCUGCGACCUACGGCGGGCCUCCGGAUGCUUUUCUUCCGAUUAUUAUUGUGUGGUGCUCUAAUUCACCCCAGCGCGUUGAGGGGGGAUGGGGGCUACGGGAGCUGCUGAUUCCGAGGAUAAUAAUAGGGGUGUGUUAUGCCGGAAACUAAUUCCGGUUAACUGAGGCGGGGAAGAGCGAGCAGCAGGCGCGAGAGACACGAGGAUUAAAAUUUCCAAAUACUACCUCAAAAGGGGUCUCCAUUAGGGGAAGGAAGAGGCCGAGGUUGCCACUCCUUAAGAGAGUCGAAUGGUUUAGCCCUGGGGGGAAAGGCGGAGCUGGGACCUAACGUCUGCAGAUCUGAGCCUAGCGAUUCAGCUCCGCUACCCAACCGGCAGACCCUCUGGCCCGGAGGAAUGGCCUGAGGCAUGAGCCCGAGACCCCCUGGAAGUGACCGCCAUGCUCCUGCGAGGACUACAGCCUUUUGGGAGGCUGUGCCGCUGGUCCAGCCCCUUCCUGCAGCUCCUUGCCUUGACGGCGGUGACGUUCUGCGUGCUGGCACCCCUGACUUGCCAUCGCCUCCUCCACUCUUACUACUACCUGCGGCGCUGGUACCUGAGCCCCAUGAGCCAAGACUUCCUCCGGCAGAACCAGGAGGACGGCCUGAGCGCCCUCCGCUACUUCGAGAGGCUGCAGCAGCCGCACAACGCCUCUAAGCUGGUGCCUGGUGAGGCCCACCGGACAAGCUUGCUCAUCACCAUCAUCACGGUGCAGCGGCGUCCCGAGUUCCACUACGUCCUCCAGGUGGCGUCCCGCUUCCACCACCUGCUCCGGCAGUGCGGGGCCCCUUGCCGGCGCCACCAGAUCCUGCUCUGCAACGUGGAGGCCCAGCCCGGCAGCCACGCAGACGCCCAGCUGCUGGCCGGCUUCUUUGGCGUGACAAACCGCUACGGCAGCCGGCAGGCUCUGGAGCCGUCGCUCAGCCAGUUUGAGAAGGAGAAACGGGAUUACGCCUACUGCCUGGAGAAGUCGUUGCAGGACUACGACCCGGAGCACGUGCUGCUGGUGGAAGACGACGCUGUCCCAGAGGAGGAUAUCUUCCCGGUGCUGCACCACCUCUUGCAGGUCCGCUUUUCCAAGCCCCACCUCCGAGACGCCCUCUACGUGAAGCUCUACCACCCCGAGAGACUGCAGCGCUACCUCAACCCGGAGCCCAUGAGGAUCCUGGAGUGGCUCGGAGUGGGCAUGCUGGGGGGCUCGCUGCUGGGGUUCGUGUAUGCCUGUGCGGCCGGCCGCCCCAGCCCCAGCUGGCCCGUCGCCCUGUUUUUCGCCCUGUACAGCAUGCUGCUGGUGGAGCUGGUGGGGCGUCACUACCUCCUGGAGUUGCGCCGCCUGGCCCCGCCCCUCUACAACGUCGUGCCUGCCACCGAGUGCUGCACCCCUGCCAUGCUGUUCUCCGCCCCUUCUGCCCGCCGCACGCUGGGCUACCUGAAGAAGUUGCGCUGCCGGUCGGGUUUCGCCAAAGACACGGCCCUGUACUCGCUGCUGCGCACCAAGGGCGAGCGGGCCUUCGUGGUGGAGCCCAACCUAGUCAGGCACGUGGGGAUGUUUUCAAGUCUCAGGGUAAACGUCAAUCCCAAGCUGAUUUGACUCCUCAGGUGUAUGAAGAGCUGGAGCGGAGGGAUCGGAAGCCCCUGGGUGAGGUCUGUUCCCAGAUUGCCAGGGCAGGGGCUGAAGGCUUCCCAUGAAAUGCAUGAGACAAACAUGCUGAGGAAAAUGCUGUAGAUGAGCCUUCCCCCGCCCCUAAGAUGCUAGUUUCCUAUGGGUUUGGAGGGCAUAUGGCCUAAUUAGUCCCCCUCUCCCCAUGUCUCCAUGAUGAUGGUGGUGAUAUGGCAGCUCAGUACAGCUUUGGCCAUCCCAUAUUGGGUCUGGUGUGGGGCAAGUAAUGAUGGGACUGGGUCAGUGGGGAGGGGGGUUUCAGGCACCGCCUAUAAGCUGACUCGCAGCACCUGCGAAGCCCCACGCAUGGUGCAAGCGCCAACACUCAGCUGGUUGGUGGUGGUAGCAGAGAAUCAUGCAGGUUGCUUUGAAGGCCCGGUGAUUCGCCACUUGCCGGGGCUUCAAAGCACCAUGCACCAAGGUGGUGAAGAUGGAUAUCCUGGUGUCAUUUUGACAUCGGGUGAUGUCAGGCGAUAGUGUGGCCCUGCCCACCUCCGCUACUUCGAGGGGGGGGAGGUAAGGAUCCAACCCGCCAGCUGGAUCCAAUCCCCAUCCCUGGUGCAAGGCGAAAAGGGGGAGAUGCACAAGGAAUCAGAAAUAGUGCAGUCCAGCAAUAGCUGUGUCACAUGGGGCUUCUGCUCAUUUCUUGGUGCUCUCAGCAGAUAAAUAAUACGACAGCACAAAGCUCAACAAUGGGAUGAAGAUUGCAAAGGUGGUACUUUUUUAAUAAAUUCUUUAAAAUAGCUUUAUAUCCCCUACAAUAAACUAUUUUUAAAAGACAUUUUCCCUUGAAUGAAAACUCCUAUUGUCUUUUUAGAAGACAGAACUAUUUUGUAAACAGCUUUAGCCUAUAUCAAAUACAAGAUAAUUUUCCAGAAAGAGGGUGCCUUCACCGUUGUCUUAAUAUCUGUUGUUUGUUAUGUCAUUGUUUCGUCAAGCGUCUCGCCCACUAGCAGUAUCUACCCUGCUUUUACUUGGAGCCAGUUUAUGUGCUUUUGCUGAUGUGGUACAGUCCUCUCGCAGGACUGCACUAGUUCCAAAUACACUAGAUAGAAUUGCCUGCACGAUUUGAAUUAGUCUCCUUGCACAAGGAAACCCUUCACAUUGGCCAGAAGUCUUGGUUGCCACUACGGCCCUAGACAGAGAGAUUGGGUGAUAUUUGUGCUCUUACCAAACACUCCUUGCCCUCCGUUCUUUCUCCACCUUGCCAUAUUCUUCUCAAGGCGGGAAUAACAGGAAGUGUUUUCUCCAGUUUCCCACCUACCUCCUUCAAACGUUUGCUUUCCUUGGAAGCUAACCAAGGUUGCUCAGAAGCUGAGCACUAUCUAGAAAUUGUCCUGCCAGCAAGUUUCAGCCUUCCUGCUUCCUCUCAUUUCUUCUGCAAACUCCUGCCAAAGGUGCUAGUCAACUUCUCCUGCCAAAGGUGCAAGUCCAUCUGACUUUUCCUUGGAAACAGACUCUUUCACAAGCCAUUAAGUGCCUUUGCUGGAUGUCAUACACAUACGGUACACAGUUUCUGAGCAGCCUCUUUUUUUUUGCACUUAAUCUCUAGAACAGCAAGAUUUUUCCCUUGCCUGUGUUUUCCUUUCUCCUCUCAGAAGUCAAUUGCACAUUGUUUUCUUUAAAUGAGAGCUCAUCUGUAACUAAAUGUUUCUUUCUUUCUUUCUUUCUUUCUUUCUUUCUUUCUUUCUUUCUUUCUUUCUUUCUUUCUUUCUUUCUUUCUUUCAAGCAAGUCCUCCAAACAAGACACACCUGACCAUAAGACACACUUAGUUUUCAGAGGAGGAAUGGGGGAAAGCCCCAUUUUGGGGGGGAUCAGCUCAUAGUCCUGCAGCUUCUUUUGCAAAGAGGAAAAGCCCCAUAUCAAAGUUGUUGAGUUUACUUUGCAGAGGGAAAAAUCCUGUUCAACUCACAGUUCUGCAGCUUCUGAUAAUCUAAUCAGCCAGAUAAUCCAAUCAGCCAGUCACAUGUUGCUGGGGAAACAAACAGCCUCCCUCUGCAGAACAUUCAACAAUGGAGGCCUGGGCAAAGGGGCAGGCGGAGAAGGGAGCUAGCUUCCCUUAUCUCCCCUCCUGAUCUCUUUCAAUCAGCUGCUGAGCCGCUUCUUUUCAACACCCCUCUUCCCCUCUUGUUAGCCUUUAGCUCUUUCUUUUUUUCAAAAAAAGCACGAUCUGCCUUUUGCCCCUGGAGAAAUCGGCUCUAGGGACCACACAUUCGCUCCAUAAGACGCACAGACAGUUCCCCUUACUUUUUAGGAGGAAAAAAAGUGUGUCUUAUGGAGCGAAAAAUAUGGUAAAUCCUCCUUAGCUCAUGUGGCAUUGUGCUGCUGAAUCCUCCUCACUUUAUUCAGAAAAGGGAAAGGGGGAGUCCAGUAGCUUCAAGUUUUUCACAGCAAUACAGAGGUGAAAUUAAAAAUAUACUCCCCAUUUAUUCCUCAGAAAUGUGAGGGAGCUUCCUCGAGGCCUACUUAAAACAGUGGGGGGGGAACAAGUGGCCCUCCAGUUGUUGUCUGAGUCAUCAUCCAGCAUAACCAGUAGCCAACGAUGCUGGGUGUUGUAGUCUAGCGACAUCCUGAUUCAAGUUAUAGAAGAGAAUGGAGUGAUUAAGCCUGAUCAAUGUAUCAAUACAUUGCCCAGGAAUGGUUUGAGGGCCAGAGCAUGGUGGCACUUUCACCCAGCAGUAUAUCACAAGUGAAACCGCCACCACUUGUAAGUGCCCAGCGCAUGGAGGGAGGGAGCAACGAACUGCAUUGGCCUCGGCCCCAAGAGAUAAGAUAAGAUAAGAUAAUCUUUAUUGUCAUUGUCCCCUUGCGGGAACAACGAAGUUACUCCGGUUAUCACAUCCACUCAGAUAAAGCAUUCCACAUAAUCCAAAAUUACUACAAAACCCUAAUUAAAACAGUGCAAUACAAUACAAUACAAUAUAACAAGUAAAAUAAGAUGACUUCAGAGUCCAGACUUUCCAUUUAAGACCAAAAUCGCUCUAGAGAAGAAACUGUUCUUGAGACGGCUCUUUCUCAACUGCAUUGUUCUAUAUCUCCGUCCCGAUGGCAGGAGCUCAAAGAAAUGGUGACCAGGGUGCGUUGGAUCUCUUGAUAUGUCUAGUGCUUUUCUAUGGCCCCUGGUGGUAUAGAUUUGUUCUAAGGUGGAGAGUGAGCAGCCAAUAAUGCUCUCUGCUGUUUUAAUAAUUCUGCACGGCCCUGCUCUAUCCUGAGAAGUACAGCUUCCGUACCACACACAUAAACCGUACGUGAGCACGCUCUGUAUGGCACAGUGAUGUAAGGCAAGCAGCAGCUUUUGUGGAAGGUGGUUUUUCCUUAGAAUUCUCAAAAAGUACAGUCUCUGCUGCACCUUCUUCACAAGCCCCCUACAGAUCCUGUAGCUCAAUGCCUAGAAAUCUAAACGUUACCCUCUCCACACAGAUUCCGUCAAUCAAAAGUAGCUGGACCUCAUUCUUCUGUCUCCUAAAGUCCACCACAAGCUCCUUUGUUUUCUUUGUAUUUAUAAGUAAGUUAUUAACUCUCCACCACUCUGUCAGCCGCUCCAUCUCAUCUCUAUAGUCCAUUUCACCCUCCUUAUCAGAGAUGAGCCCGAUCACGGUUGUGUCAUCUGCAAACUUGACAACCCUAUUACUAGGGUAAGCAGCAACACAAUCAGACGUAUAGAGAGUAUAAAGGAGCGGAUUAAGCACACAUCCCUGUGGUGUUCCUGUGUUAGUCCUAAGCAUAUUAGAGGUAUAUGGGCCCAACCGGACUCUCUGGGAGUGAUCUGACAGGAAGUCCAAUAUCCACCCACAGAGUGAUAGCGGGAGCCCCAGAUUUCCCAAUUUAGUCAUCAGAUGUCGCAGUAGAAUGGUAUUAUCCGCCCUCACCCCUCCCCUCAGGUGGGCGAGGUUUGCGACACCGUGCGGGGCUUACCUGGCUGGUGACGCCUACCUGGCUGCGUUGGGCCUAUGACCUGCCACCCGGCCAGCGAAGACAAAGGGCACCUGGCCGGAGGGGGCGGGAGUAAGGCCAAAGAAAAGGGACUGGAGCACCGUGGCGAAGCCUCUUUGUCCUUCUUCCUGCUCCAGUCAAGGUUCUCUCCUGGAUCGUCGCUGGAUUCCACAGGGCUUGAGUUUAGCGUGCGUGUGCGCAGUUAGGUUGGCUGGUUCUGUCCUGAGUUUAGGUGAUCGGUCAGACAAAUAGCAAAUCAUAUCACAUACCAUUUAAAAAAUAAAUAAAUAAAAUAAAAUAAAACAAAAUAGAUAAGAGAGAGCGAGUGAGAGAGGUUUAUAAAUUAACAAAUAAACAAACAAACAAAUAAAUCCAAGUUUGUCUAGAGCAGCAUAGACGCCCUUUAUCCUCUAGGUUGCAGGUCAUGGCCAACGGAAGAGAGGAGAGUUCCCCCCCUCGUCCAGCUGAGCGUGCCUCCAGGGCCUCAGCAAAGGGCACUCCUAGCAACGCGGUUAAAGCAGCCAAGAAGAUUUAAAAAAGGGCGUUAUCGUCGGGCAGGAAAGUCCCUCCCAUGAAAUUAGUACUCCCUAAGAGAAAGGUUAGGGUGGAUCAAUUGGACGGUCCCUCCACCUCUGAGGCUGGGCUCUACCGGGCCUCCCCUAAGGUGAUAAGAUGUGUUUCACCACCUGAGUUGGUUUCUGAGAGCGAUGCUUCAUGGGCCAGUGUCGACGAGCUGCAGGAAUUAAGGCGAAAAAACCGUAUCCUGCAGCGUCGUCUGGCUAAGGCCAGGGAUAGGUCAGGAUCCCCUCAUAGACGCUCGCGCGUAGGGAGGCGUAAGCACAGGCGCAGGUCACCGGUUUCCAGCUCGACAGACAGCUCCUCCAGCCCCGAUUUGCGCAGGACACGACGCGGGAAGAAGAGGUCGCGCAGUUCUAGAAAACAUGGGCGCAGGCGCCAGAGGGAUUCUUCGGAUUCUUCCGACUUGUCAGGUACGUAUGACUCCUCCAGCGAUGAGUCUGAUGAGGAGCGUUGCAAGGGCUUCUGGGUCACAAAUAGCAAGGCUCCCGGAUUGCCGAGCUGGAUCUGGGAACGGCGCACUCGGCGUCACCGCCGCGCCUUUGGGGCCAAGGAGCCGUGUGGCGAAGAUGGAUUGGAUGCUAAAGGGAAGGUAUUAAAUGCCGAGGUGAAAUCUACAAAAAGCAGUCUGGCAUAGCUCCCCCGCUGCUCCAAAUGUGCAAGAACAGCAUGGAGGGCAAUCGCCACGGCAUCCUCUGUUGAUCUUUUUUGUUUUAUAGGCAAAUUGGAAUGUGUCCAAUCCCUCUGGUAGGCAGGUAAUAACAUAAUUUCGUACCAGCUUUUCAAAGCACUUUAGGAUUAUGGGUGUGAGUGCUACUGGACGAAAGCCGUUCAGAUUCUCUGGAUUGGAUUUUUUUUUUGUAUUGGAACAAUAAUAGAAGACUUUAGGCGAGAUGGAACAGUAGCCUGGGCUAGGGAUCAAUUUGAAAUCCCAGUGAAGACUCCUGCUAGUUGACCUGCACAGUCUCUCAAAACCCUUCCAGCUACUCCAUCCGGCCCUGUAGCCUUCCUUGAGUUGAUUCCCUUCAGCACCUUCCUCAUCUCUCCUUCCUCCACGUUGAAUUUGUACCGAUGAUGGCGACGGUGGUGAUGGUGACCAAGCCUCCACAGGUGUCACUACAGAUGUUGCUUCAAAAUGGGCAAAAAAGACAUUCAACUCCUCUCCAAGGGAUGCCCCUCCCUCGUCUACCAAGGAAUCUUUGGAUUUUUGCCCUGUCAAUUCCUGUACACCUUGACACACCUGCCUGGCGUUAUUAUUCUGUAGGUGAUCCCCCAGCCGCUGUUUAUAUGCCUCCUUGGCCACCCGGAUACCUCUCUUUAAAUCUGCUCUGGCUAAGCUGUAAAACAUCCUAUUUCCACUUUUAAAAGCAGCAUUUCUUGCCUUUAGCAACCCCCAUACCUCCCUUGUCAUCCAGGGCUUCCUGUUUGGGUAGCUCUUUAUCCUGCACCUCUGUGUUACGUUGUCAGUGCAGGACCUGAUGUAAUCCAACACUUCCUCAGUAAGAGUCUCUACAUCCUGUUGGACAAAUACCUCCCAAUCUGUGUCUUGAAAACAGCCUUGUAGCUGUUGAGAUGCUUCAGCCGGCCAUAUUGUAAUAUUCCUCUUUAUUGUUAGAAUCUGUUUCCUCAGUGGAAUGUAUACAGGAGUCAGGAGCAAGGACACAUGAUCAGAUUGACGUAGGUGCGCCAGCGGUUCAGCCUUAUAGGCCUGUUUGACAUUUGUAUACAGUCCAGAGUCCUUUCCCCCCUGGUUGCACACACUAUAUGUUGAUAAAAUGUAGGUAGGACCACUUUCAAAUCUGCCUGGUUGAAAUCCCCGCAUACAAUAAAUGCAGCCUCAGGAUACUUGCAUUGUUGUCUGUUAACAGCAUCAUGCAGGCAGAGGUGUAGCAAGCCCAGGUGGUACCCGGUGCGGAUUUUUUUUUGUCAACCCCCCCCCCCACGCGGCUCUGGCAAAAAGUGAAAAACAUGAAUUGCAAAAAAACUAGAGCUUACAGAACAAAACUGACUUCAGAUAUGAAAUCAGCAUUGAAAGAACAUAUAAGAACAGUUGAAAAAUCUCAUGCAACAGAAAAUGAAAAAAAAAGUUUCCCAGUGGGGGGGGGCGCCGAGUGUCACCCCCCCUCCAGGGUGGCACCCGGGGUGACCCACCCUCUUGCUACACCACUGCAUGCAGGAGACCUAAUGCCUCAUUGAUGUUCGCAUCAGGUGCAGUGUAUAGCCUACUAUACUAAUAAUAAUAAUAAUAAUAAUAAUAAUAAUAAUAAUAAUAAUAAUAAUAAAUUUUUAUUUAUACCCCGCCCUCCCCAGUCAAAAACCGGGCUCAGGGUGGCUGACACCAACAGAACUACAAUAAAACAUAAAAACAAUUAAUUAAAAUACAGAUUAAAAUACAGUAUUAAAAUUUAAAGUGCAGCCUCAUUUCAAGUAGUCCAUAAGUCCAAGCCGUGAGGGAGGAAACACAGGGGUCAGGCUGAGUCUAACCCAAAGGCCAGGUGGAACAGCUCUGUCUUGCAGGCCCUGCAGAAAGAUGACAGAUCCCGCAGGGCCCUGGUCUCCUGGGAAAGAGCGUUCCACCAGGUUGGGGCCAGUACUGAAAAGGCCCUGGCUCUAGUAGAGGCCAAUCUAGCCAUCUUAUGACUCGGGAUCUCCAGAAUAUUAUUGUUUGUGGACCUUAAGGUCCUCCGUGGGGCAUACCAGGAGAGGCGGUCCCGUAGGUACGAGGGUCCCAAGUCGCAUAGGGCUUUAAAGGUCAAAACCAGCACCUUAAACCUGAUCCUGUACUCCACCGGGAGCCAGUGCAGCUAGUAAAGCACUGGAUGAAUGUGAUCCCGCGGCCGGAACCCUGUAAGGAGCCUUGCUGCGGCAUUCUGCACCCGCUGGAGUUUCUGGGUCAGCCUUAAGGGCAGCCCCGCGUAGAGCGAGUUACAAUAGUCAAGCCUGGAGGUGAUCGUCGCAUGGAUCACUGUGGCCAGAUCGGGGCGAGAGAGGUAAGGGAUCAACUGCUUGAUGCAGCGGAGAUGGAAAAAUGCCACCUUUGCUGUGGAUGCAACCUGCGCCUCCAUGGAAAGGGAGGCGUCAAAGGUUACACCCAAACUCUUGACAGAAGGCGCUGGUACCAAUUGAGCCCCUGCAAGAGAUGGGAGUUGGCCCCCCCAACCCCAUGUCGUCCCGACCCAGCCAGAGGACCUCUGUCUUCGAAGGAUUUAGCUUCAGUCAGCUCCCACGUAGCCAUCCAGCCACAGCUUCCAAGCACCUGGUGAGUGUGUCCGGGGCCGAGGCAGGGCAGCCGUCCAUCAACAGAUAGAUCUGGGUGUCAUCAGCAUAUUGAUGACAACCCAGCCCAAAACUACGGACAAUCUGGGCAAGGGGGCGCAUAAAGAUAUUAAAAAGCAUUGGGGAAAGGAUUGCGCCUUGCGGGACUCCACACACCAAUCAGUACUACUGUGAAUUCUCGGGGGAUAUAAAUAGGUCUACAUUUAAGCGUCAUAAAUUCCACUGUUGGGGAACAAUUACUAGCUAUCACAGUGUGGUUUGUGCACCAGCAGUUGUUCACAUAUGCACACAACCCCCCCCUUCUUUUACCAGAGUCCUCUGUUCUAUCAUGACAGGACACUGUAUAGCCUGUUAGUUCUAUGGCUGAGUAAGGUAUAAGUGGUGUCAGCCAAGUUUCUGUAAUCAGCAGAAAACAGCAUUCACUCACAGUUCUCUCAGUUGCCACCCACAGCUUCCACUCCUCCAGCUUGUUCACCAAAGAUCUCACAUUUGCAUAAAAAAUGCUAGGAAGCGGUAAAUUAUAAUGCUGUGUCUUCAACCUUAAUUGCCUUAGUCACCUUCCUCCCCUGCAACCUCUCUUCUGUUUACGGUCUCUCCUGUGCCUCUUUCCUCCACGGUUCUUUGAAGUCAAAAAAAUCUUCCUUGCAGACACAGAGACACACACAAUUUAUGGAGUGCUCGCUCCGUAGCCGAAUAGAUAACAUAUCCUGUUGACUAUAAACAAGUCUAUUUUGGCAAGACAAGAAAGCCAAGUUCUGAGUUAGGGAGCAACCAGCCGCUGCGUCUCAGUGUGCCGCCAUCUUGGGGAGGUGUUGGGGUGAAACCACUGCUCCUGCCGAGGGAGCUGAGGCGCUUUCACCCCAUCGCCUCGCGGGGCUGGGGCCGACACAGCUCGUUCCUCUCUCUGCUUUUCAACAUUGCAAUGUAUCACAGUAUCAUGAUGUUUGGUUGGUGAUACAUCACAAUGCUGAAAAGCCCUAGCCCUAGGGGUGGUGUGAAGCAUUUUUGUCUCCUCAGGCCCUUAAUUCUACUGGCAUUCUAAUCCUCAGGAACGGAACGGGCCAAAAUGAGGCAGAGCAAUGGCCCAUACCCUCCAACUCCUGGAUUGAAAAAUCUGGGAUCAGCAGUGGCAUGGCACCGGAAGUCACUUCUACACGACGGCGCGGCACCGGAAGUCGCUUCUACGCAUGUCCAGACAUGCGCAGACAGCCAGGAGCCGGGACAUGGCCGCCGGCAGGAGCUUUACGGGAUAUUUACGGGAUAUAAUCAAUUUGGGAUGACAGCGGGAAACGGUAACAAAAUAUGGGGGUUUCCCGCGCAAAACUGGAGACUUGGCAGCUAUGCAGUGGCCUCUGUCCAAAUGGGCGGACACACACAGCCUAAUUUUUCAGUAGUUGGUGGCAUUUAGUGCGUUUCUCAUAAGCUCCAUAUUGUGGCAGUGGAAUGGUGUGUUCAGUCCUCAGGGCCUAAGGGAGGAAUAAAGAAGGGAGGAAUCCUCUACUUCACUUCAAAGCAUGCCUGGCAACGCAAGGGCAAAGGUGUCAGGGAGCCAAAAGUUUCUAAUCUAAAAACAAAAAGAGCUGUGUCCUGCACUUGCCUGAAGCCUACCCACCCCGAGGAGGCUAUAGCCACCAUAUGAAACAAAGGUGAAGGAAAGGGUGGAAGAAUGUGGAGGUCCCCCAAGCAAAGCUGGGAAAUGGGAGCUACUGCCGUGUUAGUUGAAAGCUGCCUGUAAGGAGGAUCAUCCUUGGAAACGGCAGAUUUCUAAGCACUACCUCUAUACCUCUGCAUUAUUUGUUGACUUUUUGAGUCAGAGAUCUUUUUUCUUUUUUACUCUGGUGUCCUGGAAAAUAGCCUGUCCAUUGAUGGUUGCAUACGGAUGGUUCAUUUCCAUGAUUAGUUGCAUGCUUGGCACUUAGCAGAAACAUGUGCAACUAUCCAAAUUUGUGCAAAGAGCCACAAGGAAAACAAGCUAUUUUCUUGUAAGAGCUGUUGCAGCGCUGUUUUCCAGCAGACUUCUUGUUGUGUGGUUACAUUGUCCUUUCCCGUUGUCAGGAUGAUACAGGGUCCCUUAUUUUCACCACGUGGUGUGCGAGAACUCGGCUCAGGAUAGUUUCAGCUGUGUGUACGGAUUUGUAAUGAAACCAAACUCUGCAGAAGCAGUGGACCCAAGCAUGGACGCAGCUAGAGUCACUGAGGGCUGAUUUCAGCGUUGCAAUGCCAUGUACACAGGCUGCCUAAAACUAUGCAGUUUUUGUUUUCGCAAGCUCUAUGCUGCAUGUUAUCAGUGCACAUACCAUGUGCAUCAACUUGGUGUCAGUUUUUGAGCUUUUGCUGAUAUGGUACAGGCCUCUCGUAGUAAUGUACACGAAGAUUUUACACACCAGCGUCCACAAGUGUCCUCAUGCCCUGGCUAUGAGCAUGAACCAGGAGCUCCCCACUUUCAAACCUUACUUCUGGCUGCAGUCUUACAAAAUGGUUACAAUAGGCAAAAUGGGAGGAGCCUGCUGGAAGAGCCUGCUGGGGUACAAAAUCAAAUAAAUGAAUUAUUGAUUGGGCAAACUGGAUACCGUAAGCGUGUGGGUCUCACUCCUGGUAUACCUUACAGGGCUAGGUAAUAGAAUGUGAACGGCUCCAAAUGCUUGAAAGGAAUUGCAUAAAUCCUAAGUACCGUAAUAUCAACAAGCUGGCUCAUGUGCUAAGAGGCUUUUGAAUGCCAUGCUUUCACUUGCCUGCCACAUGAAGGACUGUCAAAUGAAGGGUUUUCGGCUGGCAACACAGCUACAUGGUGACACACGAUUUGUAUCAACAGACAAGAGUAAUAUUAAAGGAAAAGUUGGUUUACAGAUCAACUUCAUUUGCUUUUGGGCUACCCCAUUUGUAAACUUGAUCUGUUUAUAAGUGUUAGGAGGGGGGUACGUGGGUGGUGGUGGUGGUGGUGGUUGUUUUGCUUUGUACGGAAAUUUGUAUCAGAUGUUCUGAUUUUAGGGCUCUAGCCCCCAAACUUUAUUUAUUUAUUUAUUUAUUUAUUUAUUUAUUUACUUACUUACUUACUUACUUACUUACUUAUUUAUUAAAAAUCUUGCUUUUUCGGAACUCCAAUCACAAAAUGAAAUCCCCAGUGAAUGCAACCAAAGAUACUGUUUUUACAACCCCCUUUUCCGUUGCAUAGAGCCAGUCUGCUUCCACCUGGGAGAAACCAGCCACAAGGGGGUGCUGCAGUACAGAAGAGUGUUGGCUGAGGGGCUGUCUGAAAACCUCUAAGCAGAAUGCGCUUACAGUAUUUCACAUGGGUGUAUUUCACAGAGGUGGAUGCUACUCACAGGGAGAACGUAGUCUCAAAAGGGGGUCAUUCGGACCCUGAAAAUGAUAACACAAGUCUGAUGAUGGUUGCAAAUGUUCCAUGUGCCACUUGAUAAACCCAUUUUGAAAUCUCAAGAGAGCUGAUUCCCUAGGGAGAUCAAGUUGCAAAGGAAGGAGGGGGAGGUCUUGUGUUUCUAAUAGCUGGGGGUUUAAAUGUUUUGGUUUAAUGAGGGUGUUUUCCCCCAACAAUAAAGUGAUGAGAACAAAUUGUGCCAGUGUUCUUAUUCAUGAAUUUCCUCUAUAGCCCAACUCUUUAACCCCUGUGUUUUUAGGAAGUCAGAAACUGUUGUUAUUAUUAUUAUUAUUUUAAAAAAAAUAUUGGACGAGGGUGACAUUUUCAUGGGCCGAUGGUAUUGCUAUACUUAAAAUAAUAAAAAGUCCAUCCAAAGUUUCUGUUCAUAUUCUUAUCAUUACGGUAAGAACUUUAAAAAAAAAUCCAAGGCAUGGUGAAUUCUAUAAAUUCCAUGGCGAAAGCUAGAACAGCAACCAGUAAUUACUGGUGGAAUUGCUGUGUCACACAUAGAUAAAUAUAACCAGACACUCUCAUUAAGUACUAUGUUGUGAAUCCUAAUAAACAUUCAUAAAUCAUAAUACUGUAAACCUAGUAAAUCAUAAUGAGCAUAGCAAAUCAUGAUAAACCAACUCAUAAUAAAUAAUAAACCAACACACACACUUACAUACCAAAACUGACAAAACAUACAAAUCAUAAGAAAGAAAUAAAAAAGAAUACAAAAAAGAGGAAUAAAAAAACAAGAUAGGAUUUAUGAAUGUGUGGUUAUGAUUUGUGAUUUGUGUUUUUGAUUUGUGAUUAUGUUUGUUUAUUAUGAUUUGUGAAUGUUUUAAUAAGAAAUAAAGUGGAUUUUAAACUUAAAAAAAACCUUUAAAAAAAUAAUUACUAUGUUGUGGUGGUACAAGAAUUUUAGAUAUGGGAAGCAAAACAGUUGAAUGGGGGACUCUUCAAGCUGACAGGACCUGUUCCGCUUUGAAGUCCAAAAUUUCAAAUCAAAGAAUUCUUAGCCCAGGAGUUUCCCAGGAAUCACCCAGGAAUCUUAUCAGUAAAUCCAGAUUUAGCUUCUGCCCACCUGUGACCUAUAAGACUACCUCUUAUAAGGUGGGGUUAGGUUGUAUUUCUCUCAAUGAUCAGGCAUGGUCCAAGACAUUUUUCUUCCUUAGGCAAAGGGCAUGAGGGCAU